GCCCGCGAGGGAGCCCUAGCACAGGUGCUGCAUGGCCGCCGUCAGCUCGUGCCGUGAGGUGUUGGGUUAAGUCCCGCAACGAGCGCAACCCCCGCCGUUAGUUGCCAGCGGUUCGGCCGGGCACUCUAACGGGACUGCCCGCGAAAGCGGGAGGAAGGAGGGGACGACGUCUGGUCAGCAUGGCCCUUACGGCCUGGGCGACACACGUGCUACAAUGCCCACUACAAAGCGAUGCCACCCGGCAACGGGGAGCUAAUCGCAAAAAGGUGGGCCCAGUUCGGAUUGGGGUCUGCAACCCGACCCCAUGAAGCCGGAAUCGCUAGUAAUCGCGGAUCAGCCAUGCCGCGGUGAAUACGUUCCCGGGCCUU
rnacentral:rRNA from 1 species